rnacentral:sRNA from 1 species
UUAGUUCCCUUUUUGGGAAAAAGAAGGUAUACUAUCACUAUUGUAUUAAGAGUUGGUUAGAGAUUUAAUUUUUCGUACGAAUGGUUACUUUCUGAAAUUGGCUUAACAAUGCAAAAAAUUUGCGCAAAAAGCGCUGGAGGUUCUCAUUCAUGGAACAAGGUACAGUUAAAUGGUUUAACCCUGAUAAAGGUUUUGGUUUUAUUACUCGCGAAGAUGGUAGUGACGUAUUUGCUCACUUCUCAGCUAUCCAAGGAGACGGAUUCAAGACUUUGGACGAAGGUCAACACGUAACAUUCGACGUAGAAGACGGCGAACGUGGACCACAAGCUGCUAACAUCGUUAAAGACUAAUUAGCAGUCUAUAAAGAAAGUCACAGAAAUGUGGCUUUUUUUUG